AUGCAAGGCCCUUCGGCGCCAGAUCGCCGACCCGGCUUUCCUCUCCCCGCUCCGCCUCCGAGGCGCCGACCGGUUCGUGCCCGCGCUGUUCCGCGGCAUGUUCAUCCAGAACCUGCGCGCGGCGGCGGCCGAGCACCCGCGGUUCGUCGUCCCCGGCCGCUCCAAGGAGCCGCCCCCCGAGCCGUUCCGCUCCUUUCUGUCCAAGUACACCACCCUCUUCGACUUCUACCACCCCGUCCUGGCAGCGCGGCACGGCCUCGUCGCCCUCCGCUCCGACGCCACCCCCGAGACUGA
rnacentral:rRNA from 1 species